AUACGUAGGUGGCGAGCGUUGUCCGGAAUUACUGGGUGUAAAGGGCGUGUAGGCGGGGCGCCAAGUCAGGUGUGAAAUUCCGGGGCUUAACUCCGGGUAUGCACCUGAAACUGGUACUCUUGAGUGUCGGAGAGGAAAGUGGAAUUCCCAGUGUAGCGGUGAAAUGCGUAGAGAUUGGGAGGAACACCAGUGGCGAAGGCGGCUUUCUGGACGAUAACUGACGCUGAGGCGCGAAAGCGUGGGGAGCAAACAGGAUUAGAUACCCUGGUAGUCCACGCUGUAAACGAUGGAUACUAGGUGUAGGAGGUAUCGACCCCUUCUGUGCCGGAGUUAACACAAUAAGUAUCCCACCUGGGGAGUACGGCCGCAAGGCUGAA
rnacentral:rRNA from 1 species